AUGAUUAUUUAACAUUAAUAACAUAAAGAAAGAUUAAGACUCUGUUUUAUUAUGACUAGACUGUGUGUGAAGUCCUUCUUCUGGAGAGCAGGUGUUGGAUGUUGUGGAGUCCUUCAGACUUGCUGGUGGCUUAGGUCUUAAUCUGUGGGUGAAGGUGCUGCGUGACCCAGCUUUGACCCAGCCGGGCAAAUACGACCUUUGGCAUAAAAACCCAUACUUCCUCACGUUACACUUGCAAACUUCCUAUUUUCUUACAGGUGUACACCACACAGUGUUACAGGAGGUACGCCCGCUGAACUGUUCCUAAAACAUCAGAUUAGGACCAGAUUCUCCCUGCUGAAACCAGAUCUUGCUAAAGUUGUGGAAGGCAAACAACAGAAACAAAAAUACUACCAUGGCCGACCAGCCUCCACGAAAUUUCCGCGGAGGAAGGGAGAGAUGGACUGAGGGAAUCGUGGAAAAGCGACUGGGACCAGUCACUUACUGGGUGUGGAACGGAGUAAAUCGACGGUCUGUGCACAUUGAUCAUCUGCUGUAUAAGCGGCCAUCCAGUCCAGAGACAAUGGAGUUCCAGGAGCAACAGACGGAGGUUCAGGAUAACUACCCUGCAGUGGUCGAGCCAGAUUUGGGGGGGAAAGGCACACCUGGAACAGUAGGUGGUAGCCCGUACUCACCUGAAGCUACACCAUUACCACAGACGCAGGCUAAGGACAUGCCCGUAACACAGUUACCGGUUUCAGCGGCUGCUGACAAGUCAGUGACACCUGCCAACAGUGCAGCCAGGUCUACUGAGGUGUUGGAGCGCAGAUACCCUCGGAGGGAGAGGGCACCUCCCAAACGACUGAACUUAUGAUCAGGUUGAGCUGUGGAAAAUGAAAAAUAAAAUAAAAGUGUUCCUGUUGGCAAUUGGGAAAAAAAAGAGUUCCUGUUGGAAAAUGUUUAAAAAAAAAAGAGUUCCUGUUGGAAAAUGAAAAUGUAUAAGUUAAAUCUGUGGCAUUAGCAGCAGUGAUGGAGUAUGUUUAGGCUUUGUGUUUUGGCAGGAAUUUGGUUACGGUUAAUGUUAUUUAAAACGUGUGAUGCAUUGGGGGAACUUCAUGGUUAAAGGGGGAGGAGUGUAAUAUAGUGAUAUAUUAGGUAUUAGAGCAGACCUGGGCAUUUUACGGCCCGCGGGCCACAUACGGCCCUUUGGUUGACUUUGACGGCCCGCGUAAGGUUAAUUGGAAAUUACAAAAUAAAUGUAUUUUCUCAUUUUACCUCAUGCAUGGGCUAAGGCUGCAUUGCUUUUAUUUUGAAGUUGUUUUUCACGUGCACAAUGACGCAAUACGUAUAGCAACAAGUGCCCGUGGUUGACAUGGUGAUUGUAGCCCGAGAAAUGUCCGCUCAUGCAAAAAAAAAAAAAAAAAAAAGAAAGAUGCCAAAUACAGGAUUUUCAACAAAAAUUGGACUGCUAAGUAUUUUUUUACUGAAGUCGGAGGUAAAGCCGUGUGUUUGGUUUGCGGGGAGGAGAUUGCCGUGUUUAAGGACUACAAUUUGAGUCGGCAUUACGACAAGAAACACUCGGAAAAAUACAAGAACUCGUCUGAUGCUAAGAGGGCACGGACAUCCGAAGCUUUGCUAGCAAAGUUGCAAAAGCAGCAAAGCUUUUUUACUAAGCUUCACACAUCCAGGGAUGCAGCAACCAGGACCAGCUUUGUGAUAUCCCACAAAAUAGCUAAAAACAGCAAGCUGUUUUCGGAGGGAGAGUUUGUCAAAGAGUGCAUGGUGGACUCUGCCGCACUAAUAUGCCCUGAAAAAAAAGGUGCAUUUGAGCAAAUCCCGCUGUCUAGGUGAACCGUGGGGAACCUGGAGCUUCAGCUGCAACGUGAAGUGGCAAGUUUGGACUUUUUCUCAUUGGCCUUAGACGAGAGCUGUGAUGUCCGGGGGAUAACGGAGCUCACAGAGGAGCUGGCAGCAAUGCGGUCGAUGAAAGGGACAACGACAGGGAGUGAUCUUUUUACAGAGGUAAAUGCGUGCAUGGACACUCUGGGAUUGAAAUGGGAGAGACUGUCAGGUGUCACAACAGACGGUUGUCCAAAUCUUACAGGGAAAAAUGUCGGACUUUUGAAAUGCAUGCAAGAUAAAGUGACAGAAAUGGAUGCAGAUCAAAAAUUGGUGUUUUUGCAUUGAAUUAUACACCAACAUGUGUUGUGCAAGUCAGUGCUAAAAAUCAACCAUGUUACUGAUGUUGUUACUAAAAUAAUAAACUUCAUCAGGGCGCGGGCGAUGAAUCACAGACAGUUUCUCGCUCUUUUGGAGGACUCCACACAGCUGUCAGAUGGCUCAGCCUGGGGAAAGUGCUGAAGAGGGUUUGGGACUCGAAAGCAGAGAUUCAGGAUCUCUGCUGGAUUUCUACUCUUCUCUUAAGGAGGAGAACUUUCCAAACCAGAGGAGACAUGCUCAGAAGAUGUUGGUUUUCUUCGGCUCUACCUACAUUUGUGAACAAACAUUUUCAAUGAUGAAGUUUACAAAAUCCAGGUAUAGAUCCUCUCUCACUGAUGAUCAUUUGUCAGCUGUGCUUCGCAUCUCCACCUCAGACAUUCAACCUGACUUUGAUGCACUCGUUAAAGCCCAGCAGAGACUAGAUUUCUCUCAUUGAAUAAGAAAAAAAUCGCUUAAAAACACAAAAUAAGGUGUUUGGACCACAAAUGUAGGCAACUAGCAGUGAACUGGGACACUUUUUUUAAACCUCUUUCUCAAGAUCACAGUUCAGUGAUUUUAUUUUACAGACAAUACUGUGUGUCUGUAGAAUGCUAAGAACCUUUUUCCAACAAUAUUUGAAACUCAAAAUGUGUUUUGGAGUGAAUGUGACUGAAACUGUUAACUAAUAUAAGUUACAAAUGUUUAUCAAAAACCAAAUGGGCACACAUUGUUUACCAUUGCCUUGGGAAAUUUGAAUAAAUCACAUUUUUGUAGCCAACCUCACUUUUUCCUUUUUGCUCAUUUAUAACAUAUAGUCUACUCUUACCAGCUUGAAAAAACGAUGGUAUUUACUGCUUUUUAUAAAGAAAUACCAUUAAUAUUAUGCAUAAUUGACUUCAGCCUUUUGGCCUGGCCCUCCACAAUAUUUUCUAUUUCUCAUGUGGCCCCAUGGAAAAAAUAAUUGCCCACCCCUGUAUUAGAGGGAUGAAACAAUAUACUGUUCAGCCGGGCCCAGUUUAUAUAUUUGGUAGUACCAUGGUGCCACCUAGUGGGGAGAUGGUGAAAUGGAGUGUGUGGCGGAAGUGCGGGGAGAAAUAAAGAUCGUGUAGACUGAACAUGUCGGCGGUUCUCGGUGUCUUCACUGUUAUGGAUAUAUUAACAGUUUAGCAUCAGUCAAAGUUAUUACAGCCUCUGCCUCUCAUUUUUGUUCCAUCUUUGAGCUGCUGUGUUUCAGGAGAGGGAGGCUCCAGCUGCCGCUCAUUAACAAUCAGUGGGUCCAGCUAUAAGAGGAGGAGGAGAACACAUCUUGACGCCGGAUGAUUAACUACAACUUGGUUUUUGGAUCAUUUGUGGACCUUACCUUGACUCCUCGGGAUCUCCUUGGACUUCUGAAGCUUCUGGAGCUUCUCUGGUUUUCCUGUGGCUCCUCUGAUUGACUAUUUGGACAUCUCCACCAUCCCGCUGGAUUACUCACCUGUGCCCCAUAAAUCUCCUGGAGCAGCAUUCACCGUUCUCCUCUCCUCCCAGCUGACCCGCCCUCCUGCUCUCCUCGCGCCCCCUCUCCUUGACACCCCCUCUUGGAUUACCCCGGCACUCCACCUACCCUCCCCAAUUCCUCAGCCCCCAGCUUCCUACGCUGCAGUUCCGUUGCAAUCCCCACUGGACCUUAUCCAGUACGCCCUCAGUUCCCGAUUUAAAAAAAAUAAAAUUCUUUAAUUUUUCUAAUUGACUCGUGAGAGGUGAAUUCUGCAUGUCUUGGGUUAAACUCAUCCCCAAAACCGUGUCAGAAAUACUGUUUGAAUUGCUUUUGAACUGAAGUGAAGUUGAAACUGAGCUAAAAUGUCAAGAUUUGCAAAAUAUAUUAAAAAAUUUAAAGUGAAGUUAUGAUUUCAUCUUUCUGGCCAGCGGCUUCAUAGAAAUGUGAAACAGCAGGUGU